rnacentral:misc_RNA from 1 species
AAAAAGGAUUUUGGUUGUGCAAUUAUCGCAAUAUCAACGGAAACUCAAGUCUUACAAUUCCAAAUACUAAUACUAGGAGCAUAAACAGAACCAUAGUUUGAAGUCUUCGAAGGUAUGUAAACUCAGAAACCAAAACAAAUUAUCAUUACCGACUAACCCAUAUCCGCCAUAGAUCCCUAGUACUCUUCGAUCAACGAUAUGAUUUCUGAAACCUAGCACGAG